rnacentral:rRNA from 1 species
GAGUAACGCGUGGGUAACCUGCCUUAUACAGGGGGAUAACAGUCAGAAAUGGCUGCUAAUACCGCAUAAGCGCACAGAGCUGCAUGGCUCAGUGUGAAAAACUCCGGUGGUAUAAGAUGGACCCGCGUUGGAUUAGCUAGUUGGUGAGGUAACGGCCUACCAAGGCGACGAUCCAUAGCCGGCCUGAGAGGGUGAACGGCCACAUUGGGACUGAGACACGGCCCAGACUCCUACGGGAGGCAGCAUG